AUUGAACGCUGGCGGCAUGCUUUACACAUGCAAGUCGAACGGCAGCGGGGGCUUCGGCCUGCCGGCGAGUGGCGAACGGGUGAGUAAUACAUCGGAACGUAUCCUUGAGUGGGGAAUAACGCAUCGAAAGAUGUGCUAAUACCGCAUACCUCUAAGGAGAAAAGCAGGGGACAGAAAUGCCUUGCGCUGAAGGAGCGGCCGAUGUCUGAUUAGCUAGUUGGUGGGGUAAAAGCCUACCAAGGCGACGAUCAGUAGUUGGUCUGAGAGGACGACCAGCCACACUGGGACUGAGACACGGCCCAGACUCCUACGGGAGGCAGCAGUGGGGAAUUUUGGACAAUGGGCGAAAGCCUGAUCCAGCCAUGCCGCGUGAGUGAAGAAGGCCUCGGUUGUAAG
rnacentral:rRNA from 1 species